CUUUAAAUAUCUUAUCAAUUGAGUAUAUGAACUUUUGUAAUUGCUUUUCUGAAUUCUACAAUUGACCAGUCCAAUUUGAAAUCCAUUUGAAUCAAGGUAAAUUUAUAGAGAUGACCUUCUGUUGAAAAAAUACCCGAUGAAUGAUUUUUUCAGUGGUUCAUGUUAGCUGAAAUAUAUGUGUUUGUAAUAAGCCUAGGUGACUAUAGCUAAGAUGAUAGACUAGUGCAUCAUGUUCAAUGAUAUUCAUGUAAUAACAGUAGCCCAUCCAGAAUUAUUCAAACUGUUACAACUUACAUGAAAACCAGUGUACAGGUUAAACUUAAUAAUAUACAUUUUCCGUUUUUACAGGAAAAUAAUGUUAUUU
rnacentral:lncRNA from 1 species